rnacentral:rRNA from 1 species
GAUGAACGCUGGCGGCGUGCCUAAUACAUGCAAGUCGAGCGAACAGACGAGGAGCUUGCUCCUCUGACGUUAGCGGCGGACGGGUGAGUAACACGUGGAUAACCUACCUAUAAGACUGGGAUAACUUCGGGAAACCGGAGCUAAUACCGGAUAAUAUAUUGAACCGCAUGGUUCAAUAGUGAAAGACGGUUUUGCUGUCACUUAUAGAUGGAUCCGCGCCGCAUUAGCUAGUUGGUAAGGUAACGGCUUACCAAGGCAACGAUGCCUAGCCGACCUGAGAGGGUGAUCGGCCCAACUGGAACCGGAAACCGGGCCAAACCCCUACGGGGGGACAGAGUAGGGAAAUCUUCGGAAUGGGGCAAAGCCCGACGGGGGAACCCCGGGGGAGGUAUGAAGGUCUUGGGAUCGGAAAACCUUGUUUAUAGGGAAGAACAAAUGUGUAAGUAACUAUGCACGUCUUGACGGUACCUAAUCAGAAAGCCACGGCUAACUACGUG